CCUACGGGAGGCAGCAGUGGGGAAUAUUGCACAAUGGGGGAAACCCUGAUGCAGCAACGCCGCGUGAGUGAUGACGGCCUUCGGGUUGUAAAGCACUGUCUUCAGGGACGAUAAUGACGGUACCCGAGGAGGAAGCCACGGCGAACCACGUGCCAGCAGCCGCGGUAAUACGUAGGUGGCGAGCCUUGUCCGGAUUUACUGGGCGUAACGGGGGCGUAGGCGGACUUGUAAGUGAGAUGUGAAAUACUCGGGCUCAACUUGAGUGCUGCAUUUCAAACUGGACGUCUAGAGUGUCGGAGAGGAGAGUGGAAUUCCUAGUGUAGCGGUGAAAUGCGUAGAGAUUAGGAAGAACACCAGUGGCGAAGGCGAUUCUCUGGACUGUAACUGACGCUGAGGCACGAAAGCGUGGGGAGCAAACAGGAUUAGAUACCCUUGUAGUC
rnacentral:rRNA from 1 species